UGUGGGAGCGGGCUUGCUCGCGAAUGCGGCGUGUCAGUCAGCUUAAGCAUCGACUGAAACACCACAUUCGCGAGCAAGCCCGCUCCCACA
rnacentral:misc_RNA from 1 species